GCAUCUCAUAGCUCAGUUAGUAGAGCAUGGGACUCUUAAUCUCAAGGUCAUGGGUUCAAGCCCCAUGUUGGGCA